AUGAACGCUAGCGACAGGCCUAACACAUGCAAGUCGAGGGGCAGCACAAGGAGCAAUCUGAGGUGGCGACCGGCGCACGGGUGAGUAACACGUAUGCAACCUGCCUGUAAGCGGGGAAUAACCCGUCGAAAGACGGACUAAUACCGCAUAAUACUAAAUUACUGCAUGGUAAUUUAUUUAAACAUUUAUGGCUUACAGAUGGGCAUGCGCAUGAUUAGCUAGUUGGAGAGGUAACGGCUCCCCAAGGCAACGAUCAUUAGGGGUUCUGAGAGGAAGGUCCCCCACACUGGUACUGAGACACGGACCAGACUCCUACGGGAGGCAGCAGUGAGGAAUAUUGGUCAAUGGACGAGAGUCUGAACCAGCCAAGUCGCGUGCAGGAAGAAUGUUCCCUAUGGAUUGUAAACUGCUUUUGCAGGGGAAUAAAGUGCAUCACGUGUGAUGUUUUGUAUGUACUCUGCGAAUAAGGAUCGGCUAACUCCGUGCCAGCCGCCGC
rnacentral:rRNA from 1 species